rnacentral:rRNA from 1 species
UGAAUACGAGACGCUAAGGCGUCGAAGUAGUGUAUGUCAUACUUCCAAGAAAAGCUUGCACUGUCAUAGAUAAAAAACGCCUGUACCAUAACCGACACAGGUGGGUAGGUAGAGUAUACUAAGGGGCGCGAGAUAACUCUCUCUAAGGAACUCGGCAAAAUAACUCCGUAACUUCGGGAGAAGGAGUGCCUUAUUCGUAAGGUUGCAAUAACAAGAUCCAAGCAACUGUUUAUCAAAAACACAGGUCUCCGCUAAGUCGUAAGACGAUGUAUGGGGGCUGACGCCUGCCCAGUGCCAGAAGGUUAAAGAAGUUGGUUAGCAAUUGCGAAGCUGAUAACUGAAGCCCUGGUGAACGGCGGCCGUAACAAUAACGGUCCUAAGGUAGCGAAAUUCCUUGUCGGGUAAGUUCCGACCCGCACGAAAGGCGUAAUGAUUUGGAUUCUGUCUCGGAGAGGGGCUCGGUGAAAUAGACUUGUCUGUGAAGAUGCGGACUACCUGCACCAGGACAGAAAGACCCUAUGAAGCUUUACUGUAACUUGAAAUUGAAAUUGGACUUUAUUCGCGCAGCAUAGGUGGGAGGCGUUGAUUAUAAUCUUGCGGGAUUAUUGGAGCCAUCAGUGAGAUACCACUCUUGUAAUGUUAGAUUUCUAACUUUGAAUCAUUAUCUGGUCAAAGAACAGUUUCAGGCGGGCAGUUUGACUGGGGCGGUCGCCUCCUAAACGGUAACGGAGGCGUACAAAGGUUUCCUCUGAACGGUUAGAAAUCGUAUCUAGAGUGUAAAGGCAUAAGGAAGCUUGACUGUGAGACCUACAAGUCGAGCAGGGACGAAAGUCGGUCUUAGUGAUCUGACGGUACUGAGUGGAAAGGCCGUCACUCAACGGAUAAAAGUUACUCUAAGGAUAACAGGCUGAUCUCCCCCAAGAGUUCACAUCGACGGGGAGGUUUGGCACCUCGAUGUCGGCUCAUCGCAUCCUGGGGCGGUAGUACGUCCCAAGGGUUGGGCUGUUCGCCCAUGAAAGCGGUACGCGAGCUGGGUUCAGAACGUCGUGAGACAGUUCGGUCCAUAUCCGGUGUAGGCGUUAGAAUAUUGAGAGGAGCCUUCUUUAGUACGAGAGGACCGAGAAGGACAUACCUCUGGUGUACCAGUUAUCGUGCCAACGGUAAACGCUGGGUAGCUAUGUAUGGAGUGGAUAACCGCUGAAAGCAUCUAAGUGGGAAGCCCACCUCAAGAUAAGUAUUCUC